rnacentral:rRNA from 1 species
CACGCAGGCGGUCUAUUAAGUCAGAUGUGAAAGUUUGCAGCUUAACUGUAAAAGUGCAUCUGAUACUGGUAGACUUGAGUCUCGGAGAGGUAAGCGGAAUUCCUAGUGUAGCGGUGAAAUGCGUAGAGAUUAGGAAGAACACCGGUGGCGAAGGCGGCUUACUGGACGAGUACUGACGCUCAGGUGCGAAAGCGUGGGGAGCAAACAG